CUACGGGCGGCAGCAGUGAGGAAUAUUGCGCAAUGGGGGAAACCCUGACGCAGCGACGCCGCGUGGAUGAUGAAGGCCUUCGGGUCGUAAAAUCCUGUCAGAAGGAAAGAAGUGUAUGGUAGCUAAUAUCUGCCAUACUUGACGGUACCUUCAAAGGAAGCGCCGGCUAACUCCGUGCCAGCAGCCGCGGUAAUACGGAGGGUGCAAGCGUUGUUCGGAAUUACUGGGCGUAAAGCGCGCGUAGGCGGUUUUAUAAGUCAGAUGUGAAAGUCCACGGCUCAACCAUGGAAGUGCAUUUGAAACUGUAAGACUUGAGUAUUGGAGGGGGUAGUGGAAUUCCCGGUGUAGAGGUGAAAUUCGUAGAUAUCGGGAGGAAUACCGGUGGCGAAGGCGACUAUCUGGCCAAAUACUGACACUGAGGUGCGAAAGCGUGGGGAGCAAACAGGAUUAGAUACCCCAGUAGUC
rnacentral:rRNA from 1 species